rnacentral:rRNA from 1 species
UACGGGGGGAGCAAGCGUUGUUCGGAUUUACUGGGCGUAAAGGGCGCGUAGGCGGUCAGCACAAGUCAGUUGUGAAAUCUCCGGGCUUAACUCGGAAAGGUCAACUGAUACUGUGCGACUAGAGUGCAGAAGGGGGCAACUGGAAUUCUCGGUGUAGCGGUGAAAUGCGCAGAUAUCAGGAGGAACACCGGUGGCGAAGGCGGGUCUCUGGGCCGAAACUGACGCUGAGGUGCGAAAGCGUGGGGAGCAAACAGG